GGAGGGGUCGCCUAGUUUGGCCUAGGGCGCACGCCUGGAAAGCGUGUAGGGGUAUCCCCCCUCGUGGGUUCAAAUCCCACCCCCUCCGCCA
rnacentral:tRNA from 1 species